AUACAAUGAAGAGUUUGAUCCUGGCUCAGGAUGAACGCUAGCGGCAGGCCUAACACAUGCAAGUCGAGGGGCAGCGGGGAAAAGCUUGCUUUUCUGCCGGCGACCGGCGCACGGGUGCGGAACGCGUAUGGAACCUGCCCCUGUCAGGGGAAUAGCCCAGGGAAACUUGGAUUAAUGCCCCAUGGUAUCAUUUUAUCGCAUGAUAGGGUGAUUAAAGAUUUAUCGGACAGGGAUGGCCAUGCGUACCAUUAGUUAGUUGGUGGGGUAACGGCCCACCAAGGCAGCGAUGGUUAGGGGCCCUGAGAGGGGGAUCCCCCACACUGGUACUGAGACACGGACCAGACUCCUACGGGAGGCAGCAGUGAGGAAUAUUGGACAAUGG
rnacentral:rRNA from 2 species